AUAUAUAUAUAUAUAGCCGAGAACACAAUACUGACGAGCUAACGAAAAAUCAGACCUAGAAAGAAAUGCAAUUCGACACCAUGAUUCAUGCAUCUCGACACCACGUGCUCUUCCUCGAAUCAUAAUGCCAAAUCACGGAAGCGUCAUCGAGUUACAUUUAAUUACACUGUUUAAUCAUCCAGUCAAUUCCUUUUAUGUUUUGUCAGCAUUUAUAAACCGUACGACCUGUCCCAAUGCGUAAAGUCAUAUUAGACGAGUGAAAAAGUGCUUCGAACGAUUUAUCAUGACUCUUUGCGACAAUCGACUUGGGUAGGCAUCUUUUGAAGGCUGGUAUUAGUCAUUGAGGAAUUCUCGUCAAAAAUAGAAAUCCUAGUCUCCUCUAACUACCUGCUGACACUUGGAAUCCUUGUAGAAUUUGAAAAAUCUCCAUGCCGAGGGACGAGUAUUCUUUAAAGGCCACUUACGAAUCAUCGAGAUGACUCGUGGAGAAGACUUUGAGCACGUUUCAAUACAAUGGAACGUGCCAAGCUACCGCAGAGGCAUUCAAGGUCGGAUCAGUAUUGACACCCAAACGAACGUUUCUUCGUGUCUGGUUUAUCUCGGUGCCACGAAUGUGUUUUUUUCUUUCUUUAUUGCACUCUGUGCACUUCAAGGGUCCGCCGUUACACUGCCAUUACUACUCUCUUCCCGGUACUCUUGGGGAGGUCGCGUGCUCUACGAGGAAUCCCGGUCACUCUCGAGACUCGAAAUUCAAAAAUAGAUAAGACUCCAAAGAGCUUUUUAAAAUAAGAGCGGUCAACGUGCAGUCCUCUGGACUUGUGCCACCUUCUCGCAUAGCGUAGACAUUACGGCGACGGCUUUCAGGUAGCUCCGGGUGUAGCGGCCACAGGGGCUCUACGGUCUCAAAUGCUAAUGGUAAUGGAGAAAUUGUGUUUACUGGACGGUUCGACUACUUGGGAGGCAAUCUUGGGGCACGCGCCCGCAUUCGAGAAGCAACUUGCGUAAUUCCGGUCUCCCGCGAGGCUUACUUCCGUUUUUGACCUAACACGUGUCACAAUAUAGAACUUUAGCAUUGCCUUUGACAUCCGCAGAUGUGGCGCAGAUAAGGA